GCAUACAGACUUCCCAGAGUCAUCUCCAAGUUGUCAUGGGCAACCUCUUCUCUGCUACCAGAGAGGAAUAAACCAAGACCACCAGCAAAGUCAUUAUGUAAUAUGCUGUGGAUAUGAGCAUUGUCCUCAGGAAUUACCUAUAAAGGAAACUGGAAACUCCAUGGAAUCUCUCUGUCAUCUUUACCUCCAGAUGGUGCCUCCAAAUCUCUUCUGAAAGGGCUUGUGCAGAGCAGAGUUGUUACAUUAAAUCACCACAGAGUGCAUAUCAUUCAGCCUUGUGAUGGCAAUGCUCAGGCAACAGGGGGCAAACAGAACACAAAACCAUGACGGACUUGCAAGCAAGGCUGAAGAUAGAUGCCCAGAGAUGUAUGUAUCUAAGAGCCAAAGAGAGGAAAAUGGCAUAAGCAAAUGAAAAAAAGUUUAAGCUGUUCCUCUUAAAUUGUUUGACUUGUACUGAGUGACUUGAUAUGGAAUUUUACAAAACAUUCUUUAAAAAGAAUAUAAGAAAAAUCAUUGAUGCUUAGUAAGGUGGUUCAAAAUAGUCAUGAGACUAAGACUGUAUACAGAAGAAGCAGGAAGCACUUAACCCUGAAAAGACAUAUUACUUAUCCAAAUUCAUGUUCAAAUAUUUGUGUCAUAAAGAUCUUAUGAUUUCUGAGAGGCUACAUUUAAUCUUUUACUUCCAGGAAAGUUUUUGGUCAGCUGAUUUUGCUUUAAUUUAAAUAGGAGAUAAUUUCUGGGAAGAUUAAAAAAAUAAAUAAAAUAAAAUA